UGACUGGUGAUAAGUGCAGACCUCGACAUUGGUCUCGAGCACGAUUUCUAUUUUCGAGAGGAGUCAAGAUUCCCCAUUUCCUAUUGAAGGGCAAACUGGCCUUCGUCUCUGACCUGACGCAACAGUGUGAGGCAAAUGUCCUAAAAGGUACCAUGAAAUUCUUCAGUUUUCUUUUGCUUCUUCUGUUGCAGCUGCAGAAAUCGUUUAGCCUUCCGGAAGGAGCUGCUUGCCUUCAAAAUUUGGGCAAUACCCCUCCUGCCCAGUGGCAUGUGAAUGGGCAAUGCUGCAGCUGUGAUAGAGGAAAAGUGCAGUGUUAUGUCGAUAUAGCUUCUGCUUGUGCUGAUCGGCCUGAUGACGUCAGCGGAUGCGAUUUUAUUAACAUUUGUGGAUGUGAGAGG